AAAUUCCUCUAACCCCCGCACACAGAAACGAGCAUUGUUAACAGUCAGUGAAAAGUGAGCUUGCCUGGAUCCACAGAAAACUCAAAUCCUAUUCUAAGUCAGUGAUUCUUCUGAAGUGUGGUCCUUAGAGCAGCAGUAGCAAUAUCAUCUGGGAACUUGUUAGAAGUUCCCAGAAUCACCUGGGAACUCAGGCUGCACCUGGGACUUUUCGAAUCAGAGAAUCUGGGGUGGGCGCAACAAUCACCUCCAGAUGAUUCUGGUGCAUGCUAGAGUUUGAGAACUACCAUCUUGGGAAUGUGAGAAGGAGCCAAACAGAAAGCAAGAAUACGAUUCAGCGUUUCCAACGGAGACUGUGUCUGGGACAACUAGUCAGAAAAUCAUCAAGAAUACAGAACUCAAGAACACCAUCAAAAGGAUCUAGCCAACAUUUAUGGACUAUUCCAUCCAACAGUAGAGGAAAGCACAUUCUUUCCAAGUGCCCACAGAAGAUACAUCAAGAGAGACCAUAUCCUGGGCCAUAAAACAAAUCAUAAAACUACUUAAAAGAAUUGAAAUCAUAUAUAGUGUGUACACCAACUAC
rnacentral:lncRNA from 1 species